rnacentral:lncRNA from 1 species
GAGUUGGAUGCAGCAAUAAUGUGCGAGUAAUCGUCUCUAAGCUGAACUAAUUGAAUCAACCUAGCCCAUGGUUCUGCUAGAUGAUGAACAAACUUACCUGAAUCGGCUACAAGUACCUGAAUACAAUAAAAUAAACUCUCCAAAAUCAUUAUCGUAAACCAGGAAGCUAACAAAAAUUGGGAAAUGAUAGAAAGGAUAGAGUUUCAAGAGGGGAAGAAAGUCAGAGAUGCCUGAGAAAUCAAGGGUGGCAAGAAGCAGCAUGUGCGGCGGCGUCUUGAACGGAAGUACCUGUUCCGGCCAACAGCACGGAGACGGAGUUGCCCUCGCCCA